GUCCCUUUAGGCGCUGCAUCGGAAGGUCGUCUAAGGCUGCUGUUAUUCACUCGCUAAGAGAAAAAGAACGACAUUUAGUGAAUUAAAUCAAUUCUACAUACUAUAUACUAUCUAAUACUGGCUAUGCCUUGUGAAUAGAAUGAAAGAGAGCUGUGGCUGAAUCCACUGUCGUCACGGAGUUAAAGGCAGUGAAUUCCAUUAAAAUGGUGGAGGAUGUGGAGAUUUGAGAAGCGCUACUCACGGGAGGUCCGGUCCA